ACAUAUUAAAUAAUCGCAACAAACAAUCUUUUUUCUUUCAAUAAAGAAUUAGCAUUCGCAUAAUUUUUAUUAAUCAGAAGUAUGAUCUAUAACUACUUUUGAAACCUGAAUGUAACCAUCACUUAUAGAUGCAUUUAAUUGCUGAUUUUUAACAAUUGACAAUUAGGUUAAGGUACAGAAUAAGCAUUUUUCACGUUACUGAUGGAUAUAUUUAGAAUGGACGUGGGUUCGACUCCCACCAGUUCCAC
rnacentral:sRNA from 1 species